rnacentral:rRNA from 1 species
UACGUAAGCAGCAAGCGUUGUUCGGAGUUACUGGGCGUAAAGGGUGCGUAGGCGGCUUCUUAAGUCUGGUGUGAAAGUCUCCCGGCUCAACUGGGAGGGUGCGCCGGAUACUGAGGGGCUAGAGUGUGGGAGAGGAAAGUGGAAUUCCUGGUGUAGCGGUGAAAUGCGUAGAUAUCAGGAGGAACACCGGUGGUGUAAACGGCUUUCUGGACCAUAACUGACGCUGAGGCACGAAAGCGUGGGUAGCAAACAGG